GAUGAACGCUGGCGGCGUGCCUAAUACAUGCAAGUCGAGCGAACUGAUUAGAAGCUUGCUUCUAUGACGUUAGCGGCGGACGGGUGAGUAACACGUGGGCAACCUGCCUGUAAGACUAGGAUAACUUCGGGAAACCGAAGCUAAUACCGGAUAGGAUCUUCUCCUUCAUGGGAGAUGAUUGAAAGAUGGUUUCGGCUAUCACUUACAGAUGGUCCCGCGGUGCAUUAGCUAGUUGGUGAGGUAACGGCUCACCAUGGCAACGAUGCAUAGCCGACCUGAGAGGGUGAUCGGCCACACUGGGACUGAGACACGGCCCAGACUCCUACGGGAGGCAGCAGUAGGGAAUCUUCCGCAAUGGACGAAAGUCUGACGGAGCAACGCCGCGUGAGUGAUGAAGGCUUUCGGGUCGUAAAACUCUGUUGUUAGGGAAGAACAAGUACAAGAGUAACUGCUUGUACCUUGACGGUACCUAACCAGAAAGCCACGGCUAACUACGUGCCAGCCGCCGCCGUAAUAC
rnacentral:rRNA from 1 species